GUGGUGUCUACUUCAAGAGGCGGCUUGCAGAACACGAACAAAGAUUUCAAGCAGAUAGAAACUACCAAUCUUUUCCUCAGCAUAAAUCUCAAAUACAGGAAUACAGGCCUGCCACCAUAUCAAACCCUUCAGAAAUGGUGAAGACCAGAAACUUGAACUGAAGAGAGCUUUGUGCGAGAAAAGGCCAGCAGUUGCCUGAAAGCCCAGAAAACGCUCAGGUUUUGACAGAUGAAUUGAGCCUGAAGAGAGCGCACAGCAGUGGAGAAAGUCAGAGGACUGCAAAUCCUUUGCAGAUGUUUCAAAAUGAGAAAAGACUUUUCCUCCACGGGUUUGCUACGGGGAAAGUGAAAGCAGAAAACA